rnacentral:snRNA from 1 species
AUACUUACCUGGCACAGGAGUGACUUUGAUCAAGAAGGAAUGUCCUCCCAAGGUGAGGCCUUGGCAUUGCACUUGGCUGAGGUUGACCCUUGCGAUUCCCCCAAAUGUGGGGAACUCGGGUGUAUAAUUUAUGGUAGCGGGGGACUGCGUUCGCGCUAACCCCUA